rnacentral:rRNA from 1 species
GGCUCAGAUUGAACGCUGGCGGCAGGCCUAACACAUGCAAGUCGAACGGUAGCACAGAGGAGCUUGCUCCUUGGGUGACGAGUGGCGGACGGGUGAGUAAUGUCUGGGAAACUGCCCGAUGAGGGGGAUAACUACUGGAAACGGUAGCUAAUACCGCAUAACGUCGCAAGACCAAAGAGGGGGACCUUCGGGCCUCUUGCCAUCGGAUGUGCCCAGAUGGGAUUAGCUAGUAGGUGGGGUAACGGCUCACCUAGGCGACGAUCCCUAGCUGGUCUGAGAGGAUGACCAGCCACACUGGAACUGAGACACGGUCCAGACUCCUACGGGAGGCAGCAGUGGGGAAUAUUGCACAAUGGGCGCAAGCCUGAUGCAGCCAUGCCGCGUGUAUGAAGAAGGCCUUCGGGUUGUAAAGUACUUUCAGCGAGGAGGAAGGCGUUGUGGUUAAUAACCGCAGCGAUUGACGUUACUCGCAGAAGAAGCACCGGCUAACUCCGUGCCAGCCGCAGC